rnacentral:misc_RNA from 1 species
UUUCCGUAGGUGAACCUGCGGAAGGAUCAUUAUUGAAAUAAACCUGAUGGGCUGUUGCUGGCUCUCUAGGGAGCAGGUGCACGCCCUGUCAUCUUUAUAUCUCCACCUGUGCACCUUUUAUAGACCUUCCCAGGUCUAUGUUGCUUCAUUUACCCCAAUGUAUGUCUAUAGAAUGUUUGUGCAUAUGAAAUAUAUACAACUUUCAGCAACGGAUCUCUUGGCUCUC